CUAUUCCAAUGCAGAUUUUCCCAACGCGUUUGGGCUGAUGUGGCUUCAUGGAUCGGCGUAAACAGUGCUAUCACUGCAGGCUGGCAUCACGAGAUUUCUGUAAAGGAAUGGUGGUUCAAGACUAUCCUAGAUAGGGGGCCCCCGAGGAAGGCUCUGGCCUCCAUGCUCAUGCUUGUUUCAUGGAAACUCUGGAAUGAGCGCAAUGCAAGAGUUUUUAGGAAUGUCGCUACCACGGUGACCAUGGUCACUGCUAGGAUAAAGGAGGAGGCUCGUAUUUGGGCGCUUGCAGGCGCUAGACACCUGUGUAAUGUAAUGCCGCGAGAGUAG
rnacentral:rRNA from 1 species